CACAGCCUGGCGCCUCUUGGGCGACCUUUGCGCUCCCAGAGUUGACAAAAACAAGUCCCUGCCUUCGCCUCCAGUGCGCUUUUACGCGCCAUCCCUGGCUUCUGUGAAAGGAGCAGCAGCAGCAGCAGCAGUUGUUUCCCUUUCUGGCCUCAGGGCUGUUUCCCUCGCUCUCCAGUGGACUUUGCCCCAGCUGAAGGCCCAGAAAGAAAGGCAGGGACUCCCUUCUUCCCGCCUCUUCGGCCUCGCCUCUUCUCCUCAGACCCCCUUCAGCAGCCCAGCCAUGGCCUCCCCAUCCCUCUCCCAGCAGCUCCGCGGCCUCUUUUACGCCCUCAGCCCCAACGAGAGCUCCUUCGCCGGCGUCGAGGAGGUGCCCGAUUACGUGGAGCAGGCAACUCCUUUGUUCAUUACCCUGAUUCUUCUGGAGUUUGUUAUUAAGUGGGCUCAGAAGGGACAUUCAUCAGCUCGGGUCAAUGAUGGCAUAGCAUGUCUCUCUGCAGGUGUUCUGUCUCGACUUCCAGAUGCUUUGUCUAGAAGUGUUGAGGUAUCAACAUACAUUUAUACAUGGGAAAACUAUAGACUUCUUGAAUUGCCCUGGGACUCUCCAUGGACAUGGUACUUGACAUUCCUUGGAGUAGAUUUUGGAUACUACUGGUUUCAUCGCAUGGCCCAUGAGAUUAAUCUACUGUGGGCAGGACACCAAGUUCAUCAUAGUUCAGAGGAUUAUAAUUUAUUCACAGCAUUAAGGCAAUCUGUUUUGCAGAAAUACACAUCUUGGAUAUUCUAUUUGCCAAUGGCUUUCUUUAUUCCACCUUCAUUGUAUGCGGUUCAUCUCCAGUUUAAUCUGCUUUACCAAUUCUGGAUACACACAGAGGUUAUUAGCAAUCUUGGUCCUUUGGAGUUUCUUCUCAAUACCCCCAGUCAUCACAGAGUACAUCAUGGCAGAAAUCCAUAUUGCAUUGAUAAAAACUAUGGUGGCACACUGAUUAUUUGGGACAGAAUUUUUGGAACAUUUGCUGCAGAAAAAGAUAAAGUUAUAUAUGGCCUAACACACCCUAUAAACACCUUCGAACCUUUCAAGAUCCAGUUUCAUCAUUGCAUUUAUAUAUGGAAGACAUUUUGGAAUACACCUGGUUUCUGCAAUAAGCUUUCUGUUAUAUUCAAGGGGCCAGGAUGGGGUCCUGGCAAGCCAAGACUGGGCCUUCUUGAGGACAUCCCCAAGAUUACUGGAAAUGAAGUUCCAUUCAGUCCCAAAUUGUCAAGCUACCUUUCUGUCUAUGCUGUUAUUCACUUUGUAUUGAUGCUGGGAUUUUAUAUUGAUUUGUUUGCUUCCAAAUCUACGUUAUCACAGGUAACUCUGCUCAUGAGAGUUGGCUACAUUAUCCUGACAUUGACCUCUAUUGGUUUCCUGGUGGAGCAAAGACCUGAAGCUGCUUUCUUGGAAUUUGCUCGCUGUUCUGCUUUUCUUGCUCUGCACAAACUUGGCUACUUGAAAACUUAUAUUGCACUUCUGUCAAUCACAUAUGAGAAAACUAUAUCUACUUCUGUGCAGAAUAAUUCCAUGAAGCACUUUGAGAUGUGAGAACGUUGGAGGAAUCCUGUGCAAAAUUAUACCUUUUCUCCUGCAAUGGGCAGAAAAGUGUCAUUUUCACUCUUCAUUGCUUUUUGGGGAAUACAAAUUAUGAAGCAACUCGCCUCAACUGCAACAAAUCAUCACUGAAAAGAAGCCUGACAGAUUUGUUAUUUUAAUUACAGAUAAAAUACAUUCCUCUGACAGAGAUGUGACAUGGCUUUUAUUUGUCGGUUUAAGUUCACCUUCUUCAGUUUUAAUUUUUGAAUCAUUGCUUGAAAUUAAUGUUAGGAUGAUUUCAUUUUUGUAUAUUCAGGAAGUUCCAAAACUGUAUAAUCUAAAAUGUAUGUUUUGCAACAGUUUCAUUCAUGUGGAAGCAACACUGUUUAUGUUAAUCUGUUUAAUUAAAACAAAUAAACCCCUUGA